rnacentral:rRNA from 1 species
GGGUUGUGAGGUUAAGCGACUAAGCGUACACGGUGGAUGCCCUGGCAGUCAGAGGCGAUGAAGGACGUGCUAAUCUGCGAAAAGCGUCGGUAAGGUGAUAUGAACCGUUAUAACCGGCGAUGUCCGAAUGGGGAAACCCAGUGCAAUUCGUUGCACUAUCGUUAACUGAAUACAUAGGUUAACGAGGCGAACCGGGGGAACUGAAACAUCUAAGUACCCCGAGGAAAAGAAAUCAACCGAGAUUCCCCCAGUAGCGGCGAGCGAACGGGGAGCAGCCCAGAGUCUGAAUCAGCUUGUGUGUUAGUGGAACGGUCUGGAAAGUCCGACGGUACAGGGUGAUAGUCCCGUACACCAAAAUGCACAGGCUGUGAACUCGAAGAGUAGGGCGGGACACGUGGUAUCCUGUCUGAAUAUGGGGGGACCAUCCUCCAAGGCUAAAUACUCCUGACUGACCGAUAGUGAACCAGUACCGUGAGGGAAAGGCGAAAAGAACCCCGGCGAGGGGAGUGAAAAAGAACCUGAAACCGUGUACGUACAAGCAGUGGGAGCACCUUCGGGUGUGACUGCGUACCUUUUGUAUAAUGGGUCAGCGACUUAUAUUCUGUAGCAAGGUUAACCGUAUAGGGGAGCCGCAGGGAAACCGAGUCUUAACUGGGCGUUAAGUUGCAGGGUAUAGACCCGAAACCCGGUGAUCUAGCCAUGGGCAGGUUGAAGGUUGGGUAACACUAACUGGAGGACCGAACCGACUAAUGUUGAAAAAUUAGCGGAUGACUUGUGGCUGGGGGUGAAAGGCCAAUCAAACCGGGAGAUAGCUGGUUCUCCCCGAAAGCUAUUUAGGUAGCGCCUCGUGAAUUCAUCUUCGGGGGUAGAGCACUGUUUCGGCUAGGGGGUCAUCCCGACUUACCAACCCGAUGCAAACUACGAAUACCGAAGAAUGUUAUCACGGGAGACACACGGCGGGUGCUAACGUCCGUCGUGAAGAGGGAAACAACCCAGACCGCCAGCUAAGGUCCCAAAGUCAUGGUUAAGUGGGAAACGAUGUGGGAAGGCACAGACAGCCAGGAUGUUGGCUUAGAAGCAGCCAUCAUUUAAAGAAAGCGUAAUAGCUCACUGGUCGAGUCGGCCUGCGCGGAAGAUGUAACGGGGCUAAACCAUGCACCGAAGCUGCGGCAGCGACACUAUGUGUUGUUGGGUAGGGGAGCGUUCUGUAAGCCUGCGAAGGUGCUGUGAGGGUUGCUGGAGGUAUCAGAAGUGCGAAUGCUGACAUAAGUAACGAUAAAGCGGGUGAAAAGCCCGCUCGCCGGAAGACCAAGGGUUCCUGUCCAACGUUAAUCGGGGCAGGGUGAGUCGACCCCUAAGGCGAGGCCGAAAGGCGUAGUCGAUGGGAAACAGGUUAAUAUUCCUGUACUUGGUGUUACUGCGAAGGGGGGACGGAGAAGGCUAUGUUAGCCGGGCGACGGUUGUCCCGGUUUAAGCAUGUAGGCUGGUUGUCCAGGCAAAUCCGGAUAAUCAAGGCUGAGGUGUGAUGACGAGGCACUACGGUGCUGAAGUAACAAAUGCCCUGCUUCCAGGAAAAGCCUCUAAGCAUCAGGUAACAUCAAAUCGUACCCCAAACCGACACAGGUGGUCAGGUAGAGAAUACCAAGGCGCUUGAGAGAACUCGGGUGAAGGAACUAGGCAAAAUGGUGCCGUAACUUCGGGAGAAGGCACGCUGGUGUGUAGGUGAAGUCCCUGCGGAUGGAGCUGAGACCAGUCGAAGAUACCAGCUGGCUGCAACUGUUUAUUAAAAACACAGCACUGUGCAAACACGAAAGUGGACGUAUACGGUGUGACGCCUGCCCGGUGCCGGAAGGUUAAUUGAUGGGGUUAUCCGUAAGGAGAAGCUCUUGAUCGAAGCCCCGGUAAACGGCGGCCGUAACUAUAACGGUCCUAAGGUAGCGAAAUUCCUUGUCGGGUAAGUUCCGACCUGCACGAAUGGCGUAAUGAUGGCCAGGCUGUCUCCACCCGAGACUCAGUGAAAUUGAACUCGCUGUGAAGAUGCAGUGUACCCGCGGCAAGACGGAAAGACCCCGUGAACCUUUACUAUAGCUUGACACUGAACAUUGAGCCUUGAUGUGUAGGAUAGGUGGGAGGCUUUGAAGCGUGGACGCCAGUCUGCGUGGAGCCAACCUUGAAAUACCACCCUUUAAUGUUUGAUGUUCUAACGUUGGCCCCUUACCGGGGUUGCGGACAGUGUCUGGUGGGUAGUUUGACUGGGGCGGUCUCCUCCCAAAGCGUAACGGAGGAGCACGAAGGUUAGCUAAUCCUGGUCGGACAUCAGGAGGUUAGUGCAAUGGCAUAAGCUAGCUUGACUGCGAGCGUGACGGCGCGAGCAGGUGCGAAAGCAGGUCAUAGUGAUCCGGUGGUUCUGAAUGGAAGGGCCAUCGCUCAACGGAUAAAAGGUACUCCGGGGAUAACAGGCUGAUACCGCCCAAGAGUUCAUAUCGACGGCGGUGUUUGGCACCUCGAUGUCGGCUCAUCACAUCCUGGGGCUGAAGUAGGUCCCAAGGGUAUGGCUGUUCGCCAUUUAAAGUGGUACGCGAGCUGGGUUUAGAACGUCGUGAGACAGUUCGGUCCCUAUCUGCCGUGGGCGCUGGAGAAUUGAGGGGGGCUGCUCCUAGUACGAGAGGACCGGAGUGGACGCAUCACUGGUGUUCGGGUUGUCAUGCCAAUGGCACUGCCCGGUAGCUAAAUGCGGAAGAGAUAAGUGCUGAAAGCAUCUAAGCACGAAACUUGCCCCGAGAUGAGUUCUCCCUGAGACUUUAAGUCUCCUGAAGGAACGUUGAAGACGACGACGUUGAUAGGCCGGGUGUGUAAGCGCAGCGAUGCGUUGAGCUAACCGGUACUAAUGAACCGUGAGGCUUAACCUUACAACGCCGAAG